rnacentral:lncRNA from 1 species
CCCCGUUCUGCAUGUAAGCCAGGUGUGAAACUCUCACACACACACUCAACUUGCACACUCACUCUCUCUGGGGCAGGGGUCCUUGGAGUGGGCUGACUCUUUGUGCUUGCCUAAUAUCCUGUCACCAGGGAACUGAGGAGCAAAACAUCACAGACAGGAAUUCUCCCUAAAUGGACAUAUCACGCCGAUACUUGCCUAUGGGUGUCUUGUUAGAACCACACAAGUGGAGCGUGAAAGCUCCCAUGGAAAGCUAAGCAGAAAUGAGGGGAACAAACGAGACGAGCAAGACGCCAGAGCAGGCCAGCCUAACACGAGAACACACACAGACCACAAUCCCGAACACGCAGGGCCAGACAGGCCUAACACGAGAACACACACAGACCACAAUCCCGAACACGCAGGGCCAGACAGGCCUAACACGAGAACACACACAGACCACAAUCCCGAACACGCAGAGCCAGACAGGCCUAACACGAGAACACACACAGACCACAAUCCCGAACACGCAGGGCCAGGCCAGCCUAACACGAGAACACACACAGACCACAAUCCCGAACACGCAGGGGACAGCAUCGGUGUCACCUGCAGGACACAACAGAGUACAGAAACAAACCCUGAGUGUCUAAGUCACGGUCAGGGCAGUGAGUGGGGUGCACGGGGAAGAUGGCCUGUGAAAAACUAUCUAGUCGGAUCUCUUCCUUCCAGCACACACCGAAACAAAUCCCAAGGAAUCAAAGAUUUAAGUGUAAAUUAGAGAAAUACCAGAAGAAAAUGUGGGAUGAUCUUUUAAAACACUGGAGUGAGGCA